GACGAACGCUGGCGGCGUGCUUAACACAUGCAAGUCGAACGGAAAGGCCCUGCUUUUGUGGGGUGCUCGAGUGGCGAACGGGUGAGUAACACGUGAGUAACCGGCGCUGGACUUUGGGGGGAAGUCAGGAAAAUGGGGGCUAAUACGGAUAGGGGGUUCCGCUGCAUGGUGGGGGGUGGAAAGGUUCGGCGGUUGGGGAUGGACUCGCGGCUUAUCAGCUUGGUGGUGGGGUAGUGGCUUACCAAGGCUUUGACGGGUAGCCGGCCUGAGAGGGUGACCGGCCACAUUGGGACUGAGAUACGGCCCAGACUCCUACGGGAGGCAGCAGUGGGGAAUAUUGCACAAUGGGCGGAAGCCUGAUGCAGCAACGCCGCGUGCGGGAUGACGGCCUUCGGGUUGUAAACCGCUUUCGCCUGUGACGAAGCGUGAGUGACGGUAAUGGGUAAAGAAGCACCGGCUAACUACGUG
rnacentral:rRNA from 1 species